GAGAGAGAGAGAGAGAGGGCGAGCGAGCAGUAGAAUGAGACGCGGUGAGAGAGCGAACAAUGUCAUUCCAUUCGGCAGCAAUGCUGCAGUCAACUUUACGCCACGGGAGGAGAAGACACAGCGGGUUGUGCAUCCCGAGAAGAGGAAGCUGAUGCUGAAGCAGACCAGAGGGCGCUGUGCAGAGCAAGAACAUGCCUUGACUUGUACUGGCUUGUCAGUAGGAAGUCGGGGCUUGUGGUCAGCAUCAGCUGUGCGUGUUUUCUCGUCCGUCUGACCUGUGAAAGAGGACAGUACCGAACUGACGAUACCGGCUGGAGAAUAUCUGACAAUUACUGAAACACAUUGAAAAGUUUCCUCCACUUUCGAUGUCUGGACGAUCCCCGUCCUCGGCCAGCUCUCUGAUGGUGUGACCCCUGAGACAUAAGGACUUUCACCUACCACCGUCAUCUCUUGGAAACAGAAAGCAGAACUAAGAUUUAUCAUUAAAGGGAAAUCUGCAACCCUCCCCAACUGUUAUAAAAGGACUGUGGACAUUCCACAGACGGAGUGUUAAUGUGCCUCGAGCUGCGCUGCAGGAGAUGGGAGAGUCAUAUCUGAAGAGCACCUACAGAUCAUUUGGAUUGAGGCUGAAAGAUGCUGUAAUGACGUAAGGAGAGACCGUGAGAGAUAGGGGCACUGUUGUGAGUGGUUCUUUGGCAGUGUCUUAGCUGGUUGUUGUGUGGAGUGAGAACGAAGCAAUCAGCAAGUAUACUGCCGCAGAAACUCGUCACCUUGGGAGGCCCAUCCAUCCGACCCCGCUCACGCACUCAGCCGCCCACCCACCAGCUCAGGCUGAGGAGAUACAGACAGAAACCGCUCUUCUGUCUUCAUUCAUUCCAUCUGCUGUUAUUGUGAGAGCCAGUUUUGGUUUUGUCAAUGCUUCUUAAAAAAUUAACAGCUGACUGAUCUCACACAGUACAUUUUUAAAGCAAAAGAUUGAUGGUUACAGUAUGUUUUGUUAACACAGUUUAAGGUUAACUUUAACCAAAUGUAGUACUUGUUUACUUCCUCGUGAGAAAAACGUGUUGUUCAUGGGUGAUUUAGUCAUAUGUUAUUAUAUCAGCUGACCAGAUUUCGCAGUUUCAGUAUUUCUAUGUGCGUGUUGUGUCCUGUUCAUCUUUGGCCUAUAUUUAGACUACUGUCUGAUGACGUAGUCAGCUUGUGCUGUGAUGAGUUCAUCAUUAAAUCUGCUAAUGGACCAAAACAUAUAUUAUCAUCGUAAUGGCAAAAAUAGCAGCUGACAAUGCAGCAAAGUACUUUUCCUUCUGGUUUGAAAAUGUGUUUGUGGAAUAUUUACUUAGGAAGAUUCUUUUUAAUAUUUAUUUAUUUAAUAUGAACCGUGUAAUAGUAUUUUUAUGUGCUGUGUCUUUUGUCCAAGAAAUUGUCAAAUAAUAUUUUUAGAGUUAUUUUAUUUUAUAUAUAUUCAAUACUUCUAUACUUUGUAUGGAGUACGCACCCAAGACUUUCACUCACCACACGUGGUGAUGUGACAAUAAAAGUGAGUUGAGUUAUUCUGUAAUAUAUGUGUGGAUUCAUUAUAUGUGUGGAUAAUUCAUUAAAAUGUUGUAAAAAUGUAAAAUGGUUGACUUUAACACAAUUAACAUUUUAAAUAAAAAAGUGUUUCAGU